AAGCCAAGUACCCCUCUCCUAUAGUGCAACAGGAUCUGAGCAUGGGAGUUGGCCGGGUGCUGUAGGCUCU
rnacentral:precursor_RNA from 1 species